CUUGGGCGUCCAGAGCAUGAACCUCCACCUCCCGUUUUCUAGAACCCGACCUUCCUCUUAUCUGGGUCCUGAGCCCUUCCUUGCAAGACUCCUCUGACUGAAGCUAUCUAUCUGAGUGUGAUAUUAAGAAUCUUCCCGCCCAUGUCCUUGGAAAAAAGCUGUUCUCUCUCUUGCCCUCCAUAUAAAGGUCCUAAUCCCACAAGGGAAAAAGAAUAAGGAAGUAUGGCUGGACACUGUGUGAGGGCUCCUUCCUUCCCUGUCAUGGAUUAAACCCUAAUCAUCCAAAGUCAGGAGAAUUGAGAUGAGAAAUAUGCAUCUCCAACUGAGGCACAAAGGUUCCCGGAGCAGACACGGUCAAGCCCUGUGAUGCAUCGCUAAGACUGCCGUAGGGGCAACUGGUGCAGAGCCCCUCUCUACCCUUCCUGGGGCAGGCGACUUCUGCUCGUGGGACAGUCAUUCCGGUAUACAGAUGGCUGAUGAGAGGGACAGGAAGAAAAGAAUAGAAAUUGGCCAGUUAAAGAAUCUUCACUUCAUAAGUGGGUUUGCACAGUAAUCGCUCAGACUGGCUAUUGUCAUUUCAUCAAGAAGUGAAGACAGCACGUGUUCGUUGUGUUUAUUUGGUAAAGGGCAGCAUGGAAUGAAAGACAAAGAAAGGCAGACACCCGAAAAUUAUGUGAGACGCGACCUCUGUAAGACAAGAACAUGGCAGGAUGACUGACUAGGUGAAGAGAAGUUGAGAAAUACAAAAGAAUAUUUAUAUGGUGUGUAUCUCCUGUAAACGCUGGGAUGGUCUUUACUCAGAUUACCAAGCCCAGCUUCCUUUUCUCGGAGGCCCAUGCCCAUGAUGCCUGCCACUUACAUGAAGAGGUGUUCACCUGUCAGGAUGGGAGAGGCUCUGUGCUGUGUCACCUGCACUGGUCUCCUUUGCUGUUCCUCCAGCGCUCUGUUACUCCUACGUGCUGCUGGCCCCUAGGUGAUACGUACCUAAAAAGCAGAGGUCAGUUUAAUUUCCGGGGAAUCUCUAUU
rnacentral:sRNA from 1 species